rnacentral:rRNA from 1 species
UACAGAGGGGGCAAGCGUUGUUCGGAAUUACUGGGCGUAAAGGGCGCGUAGGCGGCCCGCUAAGUCGAACGUGAAAUCCCCGAGCUCAACUCGGGAACUGCGUCCGAUACUGGCGGGCUUGAAUCCGGGAGAGGGAUGCGGAAUUCCAGGUGUAGCGGUGAAAUGCGUAGAUAUCUGGAGGAACACCGGUGGCGAAGGCGGCAUCCUGGACCGACAUUGACGCUGAGGCGCGAAAGCCAGGGGAGCAAACGGG